rnacentral:rRNA from 1 species
AUGAACGCUAGCUACAGGCUUAACACAUGCAAGUCGAGGGGCAGCAUGGUCUUAGCUUGCUAAGGCCGAUGGCGACCGGCGCACGGGUGAGUAACACGUAUCCAACCUGCCGUCUACUCUUGGACAGCCUUCUGAAAGGAAGAUUAAUACAAGAUGGCAUCAUGAGUCCGCAUGUUCACAUGAUUAAAGGUAUUCCGGUAGACGAUGGGGAUGCGUUCCAUUAGAUAGUAGGCGGGGUAACGGCCCACCUAGUCUUCGAUGGAUAGGGGUUCUGAGAGGAAGGUCCCCCACAUUGGAACUGAGACACGGUCCAAACUCCUACGGGAGGCAGCAGUGAGGAAUAUUGGUCAAUGGGCGAGAGCCUGAACCAGCCAAGUAGCGUGAAGGAUGACUGCCCUAUGGGUUGUAAACUUCUUUUAUAAAGGAAUAAAGUCGGGUAUGCAUACCCGUUUGCAUGUACUUUAUGAAUAAGGAUCGGCUAACUCCGUGCCAGCAGCCGCGGUAAUACGGAGGAUCCGAGCGUUAUCCGGAUUUAUUGGGUUUAAAGGGAGCGUAGAUGGAUGUUUAAGUCAGUUGUGAAAGUUUGCGGCUCAACCGUAAAAUUGCAGUUGAUACUGGAUAUCUUGAGUGCAGUUGAGGCAGGCGGAAUUCGUGGUGUAGCGGUGAAAUGCUUAGAUAUCACGAAGAACUCCGAUUGCGAAGGCAGCCUGCUAAGCUGCAACUGACAUUGAGGCUCGAAAGUGUGGGUAUCAAACAGGAUUAGAUACCCUGGUAGUCCACACGGUAAACGAUGAAUACUCGCUGUUUGCGAUAUACGGCAAGCGGCCAAGCGAAAGCGUUAAGUAUUCCACCUGGGGAGUACGUUCGCAAGAAUGAAACUCAAAGGAAUUGACGGGGGCCCGCACAAGCGGUGGAGUAUGUGGUUUAAUUCGACGCAACGCGAAGAACCUUACCAGGUCUUGACAUACCAGGCAAAGCUAUAGAGAUAUAGUGGAGGUUAUCCUGGAUACAGGUGGUGCAUGGUUGUCGUCAGCUCGUGUCGUGAGAUGUUGGGUUAAGUCCCGCAACGAGCGCAACCCUUAUCCUUUGUUGCCAGCGGUCCGGCCGGGAACUCAAAGGAGACUGCCAGUGAUAAACUGGAGGAAGGUGGGGAUGACGUCAAAUCAGCACGGCCCUUACGUCCGGGGCUACACACGUGUUACAAUGGGGGGUACAGAGGGCCGCUACCACGCGAGUGGAUGCCAAUCCCAAAAACCUCUCUCAGUUCGGACUGGAGUCUGCAACCCGACUCCACGAAGCUGGAUUCGCUAGUAAUCGCGCAUCAGCCACGGCGCGGUGAAUACGUUCCCGGGCCUUGUACACACCGCCCGUCACACCAUGGGAGUUGGGAGUGCCCAAAGCCGGUGAGGCAACCGCAAGGAGCCAGCCGUCUAAGGCAAGACCAAUGACUGGGGUG